GCUUUGUAUCAAUGAUCCACACAGUAAACGUUGAAUUAAGCCAAAAUCAUACUGUAUUGUGGUAUUUUUUGUAAAAACUGAAACUGGGUAAUGCGGUUGACUCUUUGAUACGCACACAACUGUGGUUAAAGCCUCCUGCUUCUUGGCCUUGGCAGGAUCAGGACACAUGUAGGAUAGUGUUACUAUUUAAAUAAAACAUCAGCUUAGGGAGGGACUUUUGGUUCACUAUACCUACCUGGCAAAAAGACAUGUCAAGCUAUAUUUGCAGAGAAAAUUUAUUUUAAAAAAAAAGGUAUGAUGUGGUUACAACAAAGUGUACAUUGAUUCCUGCAGUAUCCUUUCCUUCUUUAUCAUCUGACACAGGACAAUGUGAAGAAUAUCUACAACAGGCUCCUGUCAAACAUUUACUAUUAUAAAGAUAGAAUGAUUCUCAAAGUUGGAAUACAAUGUAAGAGUGGCAAUAUGCAAUUUGAAGACACGUUUUGCAGAAACAAAAAGUGUGGCCUUUCCUGUUUCAACUUAAAGAAAAAUGUGUCUCCUCCCUUUUGUUUAAUUGCUGUGCUGGAGCCCCUUCCUCCUCGUUUAGUCACAGGCAAACACACAGUCAUAGGAGAUUCCUAAAGAGACCGCGAGACACCAUGCAAUAAAUUUUCAUUUGUGGUGAGGGACAAAUUCAUUUUUUGUUUUUUUCUUAGCAUUUGUAUAUCAUCAGUCUGCCUUUAAGUGUGUGUGUGUGUGUGUAUGGUUGUGUUUGUGUGUGUGUCUGUGUGUGUAUGUUUUAUGUAUAUAUUUUUUAUAUUUUGGACUCAACACCUACAGUACAUUGUCUGCUACAUAAUUGAGUCCAUGCACUGCACUCCAGCCCUGUCCAAAAUCAACUUACCAUUCUUUGACUUCACUUCAAACUUCAUUUUGUCAAUUUUCCAGUAUAAACACAGACACAGAUGCUCAUAUAUCUGCUCUUGCUCAGUAAAUCAACUGGAAGACUCUCUGAAUUGCUUUGGACAGUGAGAGGAGCAGGAAAUGUUUGAAAUAUUUUCAUCAUGCUUGUUACAGAGACUUCCCUGUUUUCUGAGGGAAACUUGUCUUUUUUUUUCUUUUUUUUAAUGUUUUUAAUUGUUUUGUUGUGUAAGUUUGCAGAAAAGCAAAUGCAAUGCUGAAAAUGAACAGUAUUAAAAGAUUACAUUUUAAA